CACCCUCUGCAGGCUGGGUGCACAGAAGCAUUCCUGCCAUGGCAGCCACAUCAAGAGUGGAGUUGACUGCCCAAUAGAGUCACAGCCUGAAAUGACGUGGCUUCAGUGUCGCCUUCUCCAAGAAGCUUUCCUUAAAUCUAACGUUGGGCUAAACCAUCCAGUCAGCCUCCUCUGUGCUCACCAUUUGAUGUUGAAAGUAUCCAUCCUGACGGCCAGCUUGUCCCGGGAUAAGACUGCGUCUUACUUGUCUGGCCGCAUACACUUGACCCCCGGACAGAUGCCUGUGGAAGCAGAGGGGCUCUUCUCCUCCGCCCCCUCCUCCUCUGUUCAGGAUUACAGACCUGAGUUGCAGUCAUCAUAAAAGCUUACUUCGAUGUUUGCUACAGAAGGAUGCUCCAAAUAGGUGUAACUAUCUGACAGGAAGAAAGCCUGAAGCCUCGUGUCCCUUCUCCCCAAGAGUGAGCUGUGUUGAUUUAUUCCAGGCAGAUGCUUUUGACAAG
rnacentral:lncRNA from 1 species